AGAGUUCGAUUAUGGCUCAGGAUGAACGCUGACAGAAUGCUUAACACAUGCAAGUCUACUUGAAUUCUCUUCGGAGAUAGUAAGGUGGCGGACGGGUGAGUAACACGUAAAGAACUUGCCCUGCAGUCUGGGACAACUAUUGGAAACGAUAGCUAAUACCGGAUAUUAUGCGAGGACCGCAUGGUCCUUUCAUGAAAGCUAUAUGCGCUGCAGGAGAGCUUUGCGUCCCAUUAGUUAGUUGGUGAGGUAACGGCUCACCAAGACCGCGAUGGGUAGCCGGCCUGAGAGGGUGAACGGCCACAAGGGGACUGAGACACGGCCCUU
rnacentral:rRNA from 1 species